rnacentral:rRNA from 1 species
GACGAACGCUGGCGGCGUGCCUAAUACAUGCAAGUAGAACGCUGAAGGAGGAGCUUGCUUCUCUGGAUGAGUUGCGAACGGGUGAGUAACGCGUAGGUAACCUGCCUGGUAGCGGGGGAUAACUAUUGGAAACGAUAGCUAAUACCGCAUAAGAUUGACUAUUGCAUGAUAGUCAGUUAAAAGGUGCAAUUGCAUCACUACCAGAUGGACCUGCGUUGUAUUAGCUAGUUGGUGGGGUAACGGCUCACCAAGGCGACGAUACAUAGCCGACCUGAGAGGGUGGUCGGCCACACUGGGACUGAGACACGGCCCAGACUCCUACGGGAGGCAGCAGUAGGGAAUCUUCGGCAAUGGACGGAAGUCUGACCGAGCAACGCCGCGUGAGUGAAGAAGGUUUUCGGAUCGUAAAGCUCUGUUGUAAGAGAAGAACGAGUGUGAGAGUGGAAAGUUCACACUGUGACGGUAUCUUACCAGAAAGGGACGGCUAACUACGUG